CUUUUACAAUGAAGAGUUUGAUCCUGGCUCAGGAUGAACGCUAGCUACAGGCUUAACACAUGCAAGUCGAGGGGCAGCAUUUUAGUUUGCUUGCAAACUGAAGAUGGCGACCGGCGCACGGGUGAGUAACACGUAUCCAACCUGCCGAUAACUCCGGAAUAGCCUUUCGAAAGAAAGAUUAAUACCGGAUAGCAUACGAAUAUCGCAUGAUAUUUUUAUUAAAGAAUUUCGGUUAUCGAUGGGGAUGCGUUCCAUUAGUUUGUUGGCGGGGUAACGGCCCACCAAGACUACGAUGGAUAGGGGUUCUGAGAGGAAGGUCCCCCACAUUGGAACUGAGACACGGUCCAAACUCCUACGGGAGGCAGCAGUGAGGAAUAUUGGUCAAUGGGCGAGAGCCUGAACCAGCCAAGUAGCGUGAAGGAUGAAGGCUCUAUGGGUCGUAAACUUCUUUUAUAUGGGAAUAAAGUUUUCCACGUGUGGAAUUUUGUAUGUACCAUAUGAAUAAGGAUCGGCUAACUCCGUGCCAGCAGCCGCGGUAAUACGGAGGAUCCGAGCGUUAUCCGGAUUUAUUGGGUUUAAAGGGAGCGUAGGUGGAUUGUUAAGUCAGUUGUGAAAGUUUGCGGCUCAACCGUAAAAUUGCAGUUGAAACUGGCAGUCUUGAGUACAGUAGAGGUGGGCGGAAUUCGUGGUGUAGCGGUGAAAUGCUUAGAUAUCACGAAGAACUCCGAUUGCGAAGGCAGCUCACUAGACUGUCACUGACACUGAUGCUCGAAAGUGUGGGUAUCAAACAGGAUUAGAUACCCUGGUAGUCCACACAGUAAACGAUGAAUACUCGCUGUUUGCGAUAUACAGUAAGCGGCCAAGCGAAAGCAUUAAGUAUUCCACCUGGGGAGUACGCCGGCAACGGUGAAACUCAAAGGAAUUGACGGGGGCCCGCACAAGCGGAGGAACAUGUGGUUUAAUUCGAUGAUACGCGAGGAACCUUACCCGGGCUUAAAUUGCAACAGAAUAUAUUGGAAACAGUAUAGCCGUAAGGCUGUUGUGAAGGUGCUGCAUGGUUGUCGUCAGCUCGUGCCGUGAGGUGUCGGCUUAAGUGCCAUAACGAGCGCAACCCUUAUCUUUAGUUACUAACAGGUUAUGCUGAGGACUCUAGAGAGACUGCCGUCGUAAGAUGUGAGGAAGGUGGGGAUGACGUCAAAUCAGCACGGCCCUUACGUCCGGGGCUACACACGUGUUACAAUGGGGGGUACAGAAGGCGGCUACCUGGUGACAGGAUGCUAAUCCCAAAAACCUCUCUCAGUUCGGAUCGAAGUCUGCAACCCGACUUCGUGAAGCUGGAUUCGCUAGUAAUCGCGCAUCAGCCAUGGCGCGGUGAAUACGUUCCCGGGCCUUGUACACACCGCCCGUCAAGCCAUGAAAGCCGGGGGUACCUGAAGUACGUAACCGCAAGGAGCGUCCUAGGGUAAAACUGGUAAUUGGGGCUAAGUCGUAACAAGGUAGCCGUACCGGAAGGUGCGGCUGGAACACCUCCUUUCU
rnacentral:rRNA from 2 species